rnacentral:rRNA from 1 species
CCUCUGGCGUCGAGCGGCGGACGGGUGAGUAAUGCUUGGGAAUAUGCCUUAUGGUGGGGGACAACAGUUGGAAACGACUGCUAAUACCGCAUGAUGUCUACGGACCAAAGUGGGGGACCUUCGGGCCUCACGCCAUAAGAUUAGCCCAAGUGGGAUUAGCUAGUUGGUGAGGUAAUGGCUCACCAAGGCGACGAUCCCUAGCUGGUUUGAGAGGAUGAUCAGCCACACUGGGACUGAGACACGGCCCAGACUCCUACGGGAGGCAGCAGUGGGGAAUAUUGCACAAUGGGCGCAAGCCUGAUGCAGCCAUGCCGCGUGUGUGAAGAAGGCCUUCGGGUUGUAAAGCACUUUCAGUAAGGAGGAAAGGUUAAGUGUUAAUAGCACUUAGCUGUGACGUUACUUACAGAAGAAGCACCGGCUAACUCCGUGCCAGCAGCCGCGGUAAUACGGAGGGUGCGAGCGUUAAUCGGAAUUACUGGGCGUAAAGCGUACGCAGGCGGUUUGUUAAGCGAGAUGUGAAAGCCCCGGGCUCAACCUGGGAACUGCAUUUCGAACUGGCAAACUAGAGUGUGAUAGAGGGUGGUAGAAUUUCAGGUGUAGCGGUGAAAUGCGUAGAGAUC